GACGGAGGAUGCAAGCGUUAUCCGGAAUGAUUGGGCGUAAAGCGUCCGCAGGUGGCAGUUCAAGUCUGCUGUCAAAGACCGGGGCUUAACUUCGGAAAGGCAGUGGAAACUGAACAGCUAGAGUAUGGUAGGGGCAGAGGGAAUUCCUGGUGUAGCGGUGAAAUGCGUAGAGAUCAGGAAGAACAUCGGUGGCGAAGGCGCUCUGCUGGACCAUAACUGACACUCAGGGACGAAAGCUAGGGCAGCGAAUGGG
rnacentral:rRNA from 1 species